GUCUUUGACGACACAAUCCAUAAUAUGGAUUGAUGCUAUGCUGCGAUGGAAGAAGAGCCGUAAAGAGAAUCCAAACCAUAUCAGCUUCCAUUGUUUGACCGCCGGAAACAAAAAUUGAAAAGAAGAGUUGUGGAAACGUGCAGAAAUUGAUAAAGCAUGUAUGAACAGAUCCACUAAUCUAACAUAACAAUGUUGCGAAAACUAAACUGAAAAAUUAGACGCAAACAAUUUGUAAAAAAAAAACAAAUAAACAUGAAAAAAGGAAAAAGAACAAAUAGGAUCUUACGUUGGUGGAAAGAAAACAUUGUGAUGUAGUUGCAAAGUAAUGCUCCACCAGUUCAUCAGGUAUCUGCAAAGCAAUGAAGAAACACAAUAAUUGAAUUUAAUCGGUAUAUUAGGAAAAAUACUUACCAUGAGAUUGAUUGCUUCUGGGUUUUCCAUUUUCUCCAUUGUUACAGAAAAAAGAGGUUACUGUGUCAUGGGAGUGG
rnacentral:lncRNA from 1 species